rnacentral:rRNA from 1 species
CACGUAAGGAGCGAGCGUUGUUCGGAAUUAUUGGGCGUAAAGGGCAUGUAGGCGGUUAAGUAAGUCUGAUGUGAAAGCGUACAGCUCAACUGUAUUGUUGCGUUGGAAACUGCUUAACUUGAAUCCGAGAGGGGUGUGUGGAAUUCCUAGUGUAGGGGUGAAAUCUGUUGAUAUUAGGAAGAACACCAGAGGCGAAGGCGACACACUGGCUCUGGAUUGACGCUGAGGUGCGAAAGCGUAGGUAGCGAACAGG